UAACAGGUAAGCUUAAGGUCUGAAAAAGUAGUUAACCUUUACACCCAUUUGUCUUCUAAAGGGAAUCAAUGUAUUGAAGAGGCAGAGGGCUCUCAAGUGUCCAGGGGCUGCCUGUUCAGUUCCUGUUAGGUCCAUUCCCUGUACCUGUCACACUUUCUCCUUUGGGCUGUGUUACUUUCCAACACCACCUUCUGUUGACAGGGGAGUGAGAGCAGAGAAUAAAAGUCCAGCUCCCAUCAGCACCUUCUGUUACUUCUGAGAAAAAGUUCUAAAAAGUUUUGUCAUUUAAAUGGUGGAAAGUAAUAGCUAAAUGAACAUUUAGCUAAAUGAGCAUUUUAGAGUAUCAUUUUCUUUCACACUGCCACAUUGUCCCUAUUUCCUUUUGUCAUGGGUAACUGGAGGGCAAUAGCAAAGAAACAAGGCUUAAUAACAAUUUGCAUAAUUCAGUUAAUGUUCAUGGGGGGAGGGGUGGCAAACACCACUUUUUAAAUUAUAUAAUUGCCAUUCAACACAAAGUUAACUCUGUUCACUUUACUGGUUAACUAGAAACAUUGCCUAGAUUGAAUUUAUUAAAGUAAAAAGAAAAAGUAGUGCAAAAAAACCCUCUUAUUCUCUCUCUCACUUUCUGUAAGGUUUACUACGACAUCUGCCACACCUAGAGUAACUUUAUUUUAGUUCAUUUUAGAAUGAUGGACUAACCCUUACUUAAACUGUAAUGGUGUCAAGUCUUUCUGUGCACACUCAAACCCAUGUACCAUUAUAGUAAUCCUAGAAAGGAACCAAAGGUAAAUAACCAGUGUUUCCAUUAGCACUAAAUGCCAGUUAACCAUUUUGUUUUUUAGUCGUUCUCCUGGUAACUUAUUUUUUGAUUGGAAUCUUAAAUUGGAACAACUGUUAUUGAAUGAAUAUUGCUCCAGUUCUAAAGUCAGUCUUUUAAUCUUGUGCCCUCUAUCUGACUUGUGAACGUUCAUUUCAAAACAGUAUAUGGAAAGCAUUAUAGUUUGGUGACAAUAGGAUUAUUUUAAAGUGAAUAAUUUACCAUUUUACUGCUAUAAAAUGAGUUGAUGUCAGUUGACCAUUUUAUCUUUUGAUGGAAUUUUUUUGUUAUUGAGAAAGAAAUGAAUGAAAGAAAAUUAUUCUUUUAUUUGAAUAUUGAAUACUAACAACUUAUACUAAAACUACAUUGCAGGAAGUGAAGAAAUAUUUUGAAAUUUAGCAAAAUAGCUACAGUAUUCAAGUAUCUGAAAUUUUAAUAUGGAAGAAGAUUGAUAUCAGCAGACCUACAAACAUUGCUUUUAAAUUCUUUCAAGUUUGUAAUUAAACUGUUUUCUAGUGUAAUUAAAAAUAAGAGCCAUUAAGAAAAAACCUGUCAGGGGAUCCAGUUGAAGGUGGGGAAAACAAAAUUAUUGGAAAGAACUUGCUCUUUGAAUUAUGUAGAAGAACAUUUUGUGGGUUUUAUUCCUUUCACCAUAUUAAAUGUCCCAAUAAAAAAGAAUUUUCUAAUUGAAAUACCACAUUGAAAAUGAGGCUCUGUAGUGAAUCACUUUAUAUUUUUUUCACAAUUAAGUUAAUUUGUUGUCAAGGUGUGGUUUUUUUGCAAGAAUUUUUAGUAAAGUCUCGUAACUCCUAAAUCCAAUGUGUUUAAUAUAAGCCAUUUGUUUAACAAAAAAGACUGUAUUUGAUAGUCUGUAAAUAAACUGCCCUAAAAAUCCAGGCUAUUUUUAUCCUUGUUUUCUUCUUGCCUCAUAUACAG
ensembl:lncRNA